rnacentral:rRNA from 1 species
GACGAACGCUGGCGGCGUGCCUAAUACAUGCAAGUAGAACGCUGAAGCUUGGUGCUUGCACCGAGCGGAUGAGUUGCGAACGGGUGAGUAACGCGUAGGUAACCUGCCUGGUAGCGGGGGAUAACUAUUGGAAACGAUAGCUAAUACCGCAUAAUAGUAGAUGUUGCAUGACAUUUGCUUAAAAGGUGCAAUUGCAUCACUACCAGAUGGACCUGCGUUGUAUUAGCUAGUUGGUGAGGUAACGGCUCACCAAGGCAACGAUACAUAGCCGACCUGAGAGGGGGAGCGGCCAAACUGGGACCGAGACCGGCCACAGACCCCGGGGGGAGGGAGCAGGAGGGAUUCUUGGGCAAGGGAGGGAAGCCCGACCGGGAAACCCCGGGGGGGGAAAGAGGGUUGUGGGGUUAAAAAGUUUGGUUGAAAGAGAAGAAAGGGGGGGGGAGGGAAAAGUUCACUGUGGGACGGUAUCUAACAAGAAAGGGACGGCUAACUACGUG